CUCCUACGGGAGGCAGCAGUGGGGAAUUUUGGACAAUGGGCGCAAGCCUGAUCCAGCCAUGCCGCGUGAGUGAAGAAGGCCUUCGGGUUGUAAAGCUCUUUCAGUUGGGAAGAAACGAUUGCAACUAAUAAUCGUAAUUAAUGACGGUACCGACAGAAGAAGCACCGGCUAACUACGUGCCAGCGCCGCGGUAA
rnacentral:rRNA from 1 species